CUUGGCCUUUUUGUUCUGUUCAGGCCCUCAAGGAGCGGAGGAGGCCCACCCACACUGAGGAGGUUAAUCUGCUUUGCUGGGUCUGCUGAUUCAAAUGCUAAUCUCAUCCAGAAACCCCUUCCCAGACACCCCCAGAAAUCACGUUUAGCCAUAAUAUCUGGACACCCCAUGAUGCAGUCAAGUUGGCACGUCACACUCCAUCGUGAGUUACUUUGAUCUGUUGUCAUGUUUGUGGAGCCCCUGGUUUCCACUCAGUGGUUACUGGUGCUGAACAGGGAAGAACAAAUCUGACUCCAUAUUGGGUCUGUUUCUUUAACCUUCGUAUUCUGUUGCUUUUGCUACAAGUUAAUCACCAAAGGGGUUGCUGCCUAUAAGCUUAGAUUAUGCAUCAUGGCCCAUCUCUGGGAACCCUGCCUCCCAGGUCACGAGCAUUAAGCUAACAUACCUUUGUUUAGCUCACAGGAAACAUCCUGACCAGGCCCACCUGUGAAGGACUGCAGGGAGGAAGAAAUGAACACCCCCCCUCUGGAGGCUGAUGGGAGCCAGGAAAUGCUUGGCUUUGCUCCGUCCCCUUUUAGUAUAAAAGAAGCCUGUGUUCUAACUCAGGGAAGAUGGGUCUUUGGGGCACACGGUCACCACCUUCUCAGUCUGCUGGCUUUCCAGAUGAAGUCUCUCUUUCUCGCCUCAGCAGCUCGUCUCUCCGUAUCUUGGACUCGGCGACAAUGGGGGCUGUGAGAGCAGAACAGAUUGAUGACAGAUUUCUCCUUUUGAGGAAGAGACACUUCAGGAGGACAACGGUCUCUGCCUGGACCAGCUCUUCGCUCAAGCUGACAUGCUGGCUGAGUGCGAGAAGCUGUCGAAAUCCGUCACCAUCACCUGAGCCCCGUUAGCAGAUGGAAACGCCUGGCCCUCCAAGACUUCUGAGCAGAAGAGUUAUUGGUGGCUUUUGAAACUUUAUUUGGGAGGGAAGUGCUGGGUAAGUGCCCUUCAUCUGGGUGUCCUGGGCUGGUCAGGAAUGGGCACCUCAGAAUCCCAUCAGGUUGCCUCUGGAAGUCUUCCUAAAGUUCAGAGGUGUCCCGUGGGGUUCAAGGUCAGUGAAAAGGAAGCCACGGUCGGGGGUGUCAGGAGGUCGCUGGAGGGAGGUGGUCGUUAUGGGCCGAACGGCGUCUCCCAAAAUUCACAUGUUGAAGUCCUAACUCACCAACUCCACUACCACCACCUGCACCUCAGAAGGUGCAUGUGCUUGGAGAUUAGGCCUUUAAAGAGGUGAUUAAGGUAAAAUGAUGUCACGUGGGUGGGACCUAAAGCCAGUGUAACUGGCAUCCUCGUUAAAAAGGGAAAUUAGGACUGACAUACACAGAGGGAGGACCCUGUGAGGACACAGGAGACAGCCGUCUACAAGCCCAGGAGAGAGGCCUCGGAGAAACCAGCCCUGUGACACCUUGAUCUUGGACGUCUGGGCUCCAGAACGGUGAGCACGUAAAUUCUGUGGAUUGAGCCACGCCGUCUGGUGGUGCUUUGUUUUGGUCCACGCAGACUAACGUAGUGGGGAAGGACCCUGAGGCUUGGGGGCCGGCAAAGCCGUGGACCUCAGUCCUAAGAGGGGCCGAGGGGGAGGCACCUGGUGGUCACUUGGUGAGCAGUGGUUUCAGGGAACGCGGUGGAGGUCAUUCUUAAACGCUCCUACUGUGUGGUUCACUUGCUCUCGGUCAAAAGACCAGGAUGUGAUUCCAAAACCUGGAUGCAGACCCGGCGGGCCAUGGAUUUCUGAGAGAGGCAAACUCUGGUUCCCCCGACAAGGACAGAAAGAUGGAGCAGUGACUGUCAGCCCCGAGUCUACCAGCUGGGCUGCAGCCCCUCGGAUUUUUAAAAAAUAAUUUAAAAUUGUGGCAAAAAAACACAGCAUAAAAUCUACCUUCUUAACCAUUUUCAAGUGUACAGUUCAGUUACGUUAGCUACGUUCACAUUGCUGGGCAGCACAUCUCCAGGAAGUCGUCGUCUUGCAAAACGGAAACUCUGUACCCACUGAACAACAGCUGUCCUUCCCCUCCCACAGCCCCUCAGGUUUUA